AAGUCGUAACAAGGUUUCCGUAGGUGAACCUGCGGAAGGAUCAUUAACACGUAUCCAACGUUAAACCCCCUGUGAACCUUCAUUGUACGAGUUACAUCCACGUCAUAAACGGCAAUCUCUGGUAAACCUCUGGGAAGGGUGUACGGUAGUGCGAGGCAAUUGACCUGGCAUUCCUCUGCUUGUUAGUGUCUGAAAGUGUCACUAGCUAUGUACGGAUGGCGCAGUAACGAUCGCUGGAGGCCGACACGGCCGGCGACCAGGUCACUGGGCUACGGCCCCCCUGAUCACAACCUUUGCAUGAAAACGGGCCUGCGCUGAGGUGCGGCCACCCCUAAUGCUUGAACAACUGUUAACAAUGGAUAUCUUGGUUCUC
rnacentral:misc_RNA from 1 species